UUACAGGAUCCCGUCCCCACCGAAGUAAAUUUUUGACCCUUCCCACUGUUAUACGCGUGGACGGUUAGUAUUCUUUUAGUCGUGGGCUCGUGGAGUUUCUAAUUGCGGGCGGUAGCGGCCGGAGGUCUCGGCGGCGAGCGGCCGAUAGGUAUGGGUGCCUUCGUGGGCGGCAGCGGCGCGGAAGAGAGCGGACGUAGCAUCGCGACGGCCUCUCGGCUAUGUGCGCUGGGGUGAGGCCCUCGUCUCCGUGCGGCUCGGCGGCUAGCCUGGUUCCCUCGUCGGCCGGCGGCAUCCAGCGACUGCGGCAGACCAAGAUGGGUAUGCACGGCUAGUCCAGUCAUGAGCAGUGACUCCACCAGGCCACAAGUCCACGGCUGGCCUCCUCACUGUCUCGCAUAUCAAUAUACAUGUCACACUGGCUCUUAUAAUCUAGUUCCUUGGCAAGUUCACAUCAACAGUCCGGCUAACCUGUGGGAGCUAUGGUUGGUACCAAUUGGUCUUGCUCGUUUUAAUUAGCUGGCCAUUGACAUGGUUGGGGAAGCUUCCCCAGAAGGUCCUUCUCAGAUAUCUACUGCUGUUGUUGCGUUGUUCGGCACGGGGUGAAAUAGGGUGUCUUUACCAUUUCAGAAGCACUACUUGCUUCAUAUCUUCCCCUCCAUCGACCAUCUGCUGGUAUGAAGAAAGACAGUGCUAAGCAAAGUUAUAUGAGCAUAUGAAGUUGACUUUGAUACCAUUAUGUUGUUUCCGUAAAAUUCUUUUAUCAGUGUAUACUGGUAUAUCAUGUGUCUUUUUUUUGCUGAGGGAGGUAUACCAUAUGUUUACUAGAAUUAUCUUUGACUUGAAUUGUAUAUA